rnacentral:rRNA from 1 species
GAUGAACGCUGGCGGCGUGCCUAAUACAUGCAAGUAGAACGCUGAAGCUUAGUUCUUGCACCGAGCGGGUGAGUGGCGGACGGGUGAGUAACGGGUAGGUAACCGGCCUUGUAGCGGGGGAUAACGAUUGGAAACGAUAGCUAAUACCGCAUGACAACGGGUAUGGCAUGAUAACUGGUUAAAAGUGGCAAUUGCUCCACUACCAGAUGGACCUGCGUUGUAUUAGCUAGUUGGUGAGGUAACGGCUCACCAAGGCGACGAUACAUAGCCGGCCUUAGAGGGUGAUCGGCCGACCUGGGAGUGAGACACGGGCCAGACUUCCACGGGAAGCAGCAGUAGGGAAACUUCGGACAUAGACGGAAGUCUGACCGAGCCCCGCCGCGUGAGUGAAGAAGGGUUUCGGAUCGUAAAGGUCCGUUGAAAGAGAAGAACGAGUGUGAGAGUGGAAAGUUCCCACUGUGACGGUAUCUGACCAGAAAGGGACGGCUAACUACGUG